rnacentral:rRNA from 1 species
AUGGUCAGCCACACUGGGACUGAGACACUGCCCAGACUCCUACGGGAGGCUGCAGUCGAGAAUCAUUCACAAUGCGCGAAAGCGUGAUGGUGCGACGCCGCGUGGAGGAUGACGGCCUUCGGGUUGUAAACUCCUGUCAUUCGGGGACAGCGGCAGGGGGUUGAAUAUUCCCCUUGCUCGAUAGUACCGGAAGAGGAAGUCACGGCUAACUCUGUGCCAGCAGCCGCGGUAAUACAGAGGUGGCAAACGUUGUUCGGAUUUACUGGGCGUAAAGGGUGCGUAGGGGGUUCCCUAUGUCGGAUGUGAAAUCUCGGCGCUUAACGGCGAAACUGCAUUCGAAACUGGGGGACUAGAGUACCGGAGAGGAGAGCGGAAUUCUCGGUGUAGCGGUGAAAUGCGUAGAUAUCGAGAAGAACACCGGUGGCGAAGGCGGCUCUCUGGACGGAUACUGACCCUGAGGCACGAAAGCUGGGGGAGCAAACAGGAUUAGAUACCCUGGUAGUCCCAGCCCUAAACGUUGUCCACUUGGUGUGGGGGGAGUUGAUCCCCUCCGUGCUGGAGCUAACGCGUUAAGUGGACCGCCUGGGGAGUACGGCCGCAAGGCUAAAACUCAAAGAAAUUGACGGGGGCCCGCACAAGCGGAGGAGCAUGUGGCUCAAUUCGAUGCAACGCGAAGAACCUUACCAGGGCUUGACAUGCAGCUGCAAGCCCCGUGAAAGCGGGGCCGCCUUCGAGGGCGCUGCACAGGUGCUGCAUGGCUGUCGUCAGUUCGUGCCGUGAGGUGUUGGGUUAAGUCCCGCAACGAACGCAACCCCUGUGUUUAGUUGCCACUCCCCUCGUGGGAAGCACUCUAGACAGACUGCCUGUGAUAAGCAGGAGGAAGGUGGGGAUGACGUCAAGUCCGUAUGGCCUUUAUGCCCUGGGCUGCACACGUGCUACAAUGGCCGGUACAGAAGGAUGCAAUGCCGCAAGGUGGAGCAAAUCCCCAAAACCGGCCCCAGUUCGGAUUGGAGUCUGCAACUCGACUCCAUGAAGCCGGAUUCCUAGUAACGGCGCAUCAGCUACGGCGCCGUGAAUACGUUCCCGGGCCUUGUACACACCGCCCGUCACAUCAUGAAAGCCACCUGCACCCGAAGUCGCCGAUCUAACCCGUCAAGGGACGAAGGCGCCGAAGGUGUGGGUGGUGAUUGGGAUGAAGUCGUAACAAGGU